GGGCGUGUGGCCUAGUGGAUAUGGCGGCAGCCUCCUAAGCUGUAGGUCAGGGGUUCGAAUCCCUUCACGCCCGC
rnacentral:tRNA from 2 species